AUUGAACGCUGGCGGCAGGCCUAACACAUGCAAGUCGAGCGGAUGAGAAGAGCUUGCUCUUCGAUUCAGCGGCGGACGGGUGAGUAAUGCCUAGGAAUCUGCCUGGUAGUGGGGGACAACGUUUCGAAAGGAACGCUAAUACCGCAUACGUCCUACGGGAGAAAGCAGGGGACCUUCGGGCCUUGCGCUAUCAGAUGAGCCUAGGUCGGAUUAGCUAGUUAGUGAGGUAAUGGCUCACCAAGGCGACGAUCCGUAACUGGUCUGAGAGGAUGAUCAGUCACACUGGAACUGAGACACGGUCCAGACUCCUACGGGAGGCAGCAGUGGGGAAUAUUGGACAAUGGGCGAAAGCCUGAUCCAGCCAUGCCGCGUGUGUGAAGAAGGUCUUCGGAUUGUAAAGCACUUUAAGUUGGGAGGAAGGGCAGUAAGUUAAUACCUUGCUGUUUUGACGUUACCGACAGAGUAAGCACCGGCUAACUCUGUGCCAGCCGCCGCCGUAAUAC
rnacentral:rRNA from 1 species